CACAUUCCUUUACUGCCUUUUGUUUGGCAGUUUAGUUCUUUCUGAAUACGUCUUUUAUUAUUGAGAGUUUAAGUCCAAUAAACUUCAAGGGGCAAUGUGGCAAAAAUAGGAUUAUAAUUUGCUAUAUUCAACCUAGUAUAUCAAGCUCAAAGGUACAGGUGGUUGGUUGGGUGAAGUUCCCUAUUUCUGUCUUUGUAGUUUUGCACUGAGGUCUUUCUUCCCAUGCUUAUAUUUCCAUCCUUGUGAUAUCAAAGUUCUGUAGGCUGAGAGUGCUGUAGAUGAACAACUUGGAGUCUAAAUUUGCCUACAGUCAAGCCUCCAUGAACUCACUAUAGUGUGGAUGAAGCAGUUUUCCAAAACAAGGUCCCCAGCAUCCAGUGAUAAUAGCAGUCACUUGUAUUUGAUUGAUAAGUCACAAAAUGUGCCUAUUUUCCCCCA
rnacentral:lncRNA from 1 species